rnacentral:rRNA from 1 species
GACGAACGCUGGCGGCGUGCCUAAUACAUGCAAGUAGAACGCUGAAGGAAGGAGCUUGCUCUUUCUGGAUGAGUUGCGAACGGGUGAGUAACGCGUAGGUAACCUGCCUGGUAGCGGGGGAUAACUAUUGGAAACGAUAGCUAAUACCGCAUAAAAUUGAUUAUUGCAUGAUAGUCAAUUAAAAGGUGCAACUGCACCACUACCAGAUGGACCUGCGUUGUAUUAGCUAGUUGGUGGGGUAACGGCUCACCAAGGCGACGAUACAUAGCCGACCUGAGAGGGUGAUCGGCCACGCUGGGACUGGGACACGGCCCAGACUCCUGCGGGAGGCAGCAGGAGGGAAUCUUCGGCAAUGGACGGAAGUCUGACCGAGCAACGCCGCGUGAGUGAAGAAGGGUUUCGGAUCGUAAAGAUCUGUUGUAAGAGAAGAACGAGUGUGAGAGUGGAAAGUUCACACUGUGACGGUAUCUUACCAGAAAGGGACGGCUAACUACGUG